UUCACUGAAUACCAUUGCUUGUCUGUCCACAGAUUGCCUCUAACAACACAGUCAGUGUAUUCCUCUAUCCACUAUCUUCAAAUUCGGCUUAACCAAAAUCUAAUCCCAAACUCUGCAUAUUCAGUGUAGUAUAAGUGUGAUUCCACAGACUGAGCAAGGGAAACAUCUGAAUCAGGAAAGGCAGGACCAGAACAAGAAGGCAGGGCAGCAUCCAAAGAGAUUUUGACAUCAUGCCUAGAACUAAAAGAGCGAGACCACAAGUUGGUGAAAGUUCCAACCCUUCACGACGCGAAGAACAACAGCCUCAAAUGCAGUCAUAUCCUACUGAUGAUUUUCUCACUAAAAGUCAUGCACUAGCCUUUCCAAACUUCUCUGCCCGACUAAUUGUUACAGGGAGAAGGAUAAAUCUUCCAUCUCAAUAUGAUGCACUAUUAAUUAGUAAACUUGAAGCAAUGGGAUGGCAAAACUUAAUUAAUUUUCCCCAAAAGGUAUAUCCAUGGCUGGUAGCUCUAUUUUAUGUUCACCUAAGAGCUACUCAGGAAGAAGAUGGAAAUUUUACUCUUUUGUCGUAUGUGAAAGGAAAAGGUAUAUAGUUUGAUAUUCCUACUUUGACAAGCAUUGUUGGAGUUGAGUUAGGUGAUGAAAAUAUUCAUUUUCAGACUGAGGGUGAGUUAGCUAAUAUCGUUGGUAAUGCUACUGAUGUGUUUACUACUAUUUGUCGGAAUAGAUUUACUAGGACUAGUUUACAAGCAAGACAUUUCAAACCUCAUCUUCGGAUUCUCCAUCGGUGGAUUGUAGAAAAUGUCACUCCAAAAAAAGGACACCAUGAUGCAGUCCCAUAUUUUAAUGCCUAUUUGUUAUACUGUUUUGAAGUUGGUCAGAAGUUAGAUUUGUGUUACAUAAUUAUGAAAGAAAUGGUACAGGCAAAUCAAGGUCAAUUCACAGGUCGGUCAUUACUGUUUGGGGCACUCUUAACAAAAAUUUUCAAACAUUUUAAGGUUCACCUUGCAGAUGAAAUGGAUAUCAAAAUCCGUUCACCUAUUAAUCAGUAUACAGUGACCCGUGCGAGUGCAGCCUCCAAUUUAAUGGGAAGUGAUAAUGCUUCAGAAGAUUCAGAAAAUGAAGUCUCAGAAGAUAAUGCUCCACAAGAUCCUUAUGCCAAUUUGAUGCCAUCAACUGAAUAACCUCAAUAUUGGACUGAGUUUUUGGCCAUGGAAGAACAACGUUAUAAUCAAUGCGUUCAAUGGGAAUAGCAAAUGGCUAAUCAGGUCAAUUCGUUGGGUAGUCAGUUUGAUACAUUUGCCACUGCACAGAACUCAUUAAUUUAACAAUUUGGUGAUUUCCGUGUGGACAUUGAGCAUCGCGUAGAUACGAUUGAGCAUCGUGUAAAUGAUAUAUACUAGCACUACUACCCUUCUCCACCACCACCACCACCACCAGAUAAUGACUGUUGAUGUGUUUCACAUUAUGUAUUUGUAUUGGUUUGUAUUUUGUUAUUUUAAAAACCUUUUGUUAGGUCAAUUUGUUAUGACAUUGGCCUAUGCAGUUGUUAUCACUUUAUAUUGUAGUUUUUCAUUUUAAUGCCUAGUUGACAAAGGA